rnacentral:rRNA from 1 species
UACGGAGGGGGCGAGCGUUAUUCGGAAUUAUUGGGCGUAAAGGGCGCGUAGGCGGCUUGGCAAGUCAAAGGUGAAAUCCCUCGGCUCAACUGAGGAACUGCCUUUGAUACUGAAGAUCUUGAGUUCGGGAGAGGUGAGUGGAACUGCGAGUGUAGAGGUGAAAUUCGUAGAUAUUCGCAAGAACACCAGUGGCGAAGGCGGCUCACUGGCCCGGUACUGACGCUGAGGUGACG